rnacentral:rRNA from 1 species
AUUGAACGCUGGCGGCAGGCCUAACACAUGCAAGUCGAGCGAGCGGCGGACGGGUGAGUAAUGUCUGGGAAACUGCCUGCUGGAGGGGGAUAACUACUGGAAACGGUAGCUAAUACCGCAUAACAUCAGAUGUGCGCAGAUGGGAGUAGUUAGUAGGGGGGGUAACGGCUCACCUAGGCGACGAUCCCUCGCUGGUCUGAGAGGAUUACCAGCCACACUGGAACUGAGACACGGUCCAGACUCCUACGGUAGGCAGAAGUGGGGAAUAGUGCACAAUGGGCGCAAGCCGGAUGCAGCCAUGCCGCGUGUGUGAAGAAGGCCUUCGGGUUGUAAAGCACUUUCAGCGGGGAGGCGUUACCCGCAGAAGAAGCACCGGCUAACUCCGUGCCAGCCGUCGCGGUAAUUC